CAGCGCCGCGGGAAUACGGAGGGUGCAAGCGUUAAUCGGAAUUACUGGGCGUAAAGCGUGCGCAGGCGGUUCGUUAAGACAGAUGUGAAAUCCCCGGGCUUAACCUGGGAACUGCAUUUGUGACUGGCGAGCUAGAGUAUGGCAGAGGGGGGUAGAAUUCCACGUGUAGCAGUGAAAUGCGUAGAGAUGUGGAGGAAUACCGAUGGCGAAGGCAGCCCCCUGGGCCAAUACUGACGCUCAUGCACGAAAGCGUGGGGAGCAAACAGGAUUAGAUACCCGUGUAGUCCCUGUCUCUUAUACA
rnacentral:rRNA from 1 species